rnacentral:misc_RNA from 1 species
CCAAACUUGGUCAUUUAGAGGAAGUAAAAGUCGUAACAAGGUUUCCGUAGGUGAACCUGCGGAAGGAUCAUUAAAGGUUUAGGGUACUCAGUGCCCAAACUUCAACCCUAUGUUUUGUUAACCUGUUUCUUUGCCGGUUUCGGUCGGCAGAAGACUUCUCAAACUCCCCAUAAAUCUGCUCUGAAUAUGAUUAAAAAAUCGUUAAAACUUUCAACAACGGAUCUCUUGGUUCUGGCAUCGAUGAAGAACGCAGC